UGCAGAUGUUGGGAGCGGACCGCGGGUCC
rnacentral:sRNA from 1 species